CAUCAUUUAGUACCUCUCCAAACCGGUCUGACUCUCUUUCUUCUGUGUAACACCUUUUAAGUCCAAGAAGAGCUUUUUGUGAGGAACAGUUCAUCCUAGGUUUGUGAACUGGAUCAAUUGAUUUUUUUGAAAAGACCUAGGAUCCCUUCAGCAAUUGUCAGAGGUGGAGGACUGUGAGAGAGUGAGUGGGGUGUGAUGGCGAAGAACAGAUGGAUCCAACCCUAGAGAACCUUUUCUGCUGCGGUGAGCUGGUAAACUCUGAAGCACUUGCUCUGAUUUGCAACCCCCAUGUGAAAAAUGUCCCCUGGCUUGGCAUCUCCAUGUUGAAGGCCACAGGUAAUUGAAAGAAUAAUUUAUUAAUAUAUUUUGAUACAAAUCAAAACUAACGACCUACCCUCUCAGGAAAUUACAGCAGUGGGAUGUGGGUAUACAUUAAAGGUCUGGGGCGCACUGCUGAGUGGCAUUACUCAAAUAGCAGCAGGUCUGGUGCAGGCUAGCAAGGGCUGUUAAUAAAGGCUUGCUGACAUGCUUUCCA
ensembl:lncRNA